rnacentral:lncRNA from 1 species
CAGGACAGCCAAACUGUGCGUUGCAUCUGGUUGGGUCUUUCGGAGCAAGUGCUAUGAGAGUUUUCUACUCUUCCUCCAGAGGCAGAUAGGGGACUGUGGCUGUCAGUGGAGUAACGAGAAAGAGGAACAAAGAUGGGAAAAGACCAGCAGCUAUUUGUGAGGCUGUGGCCAUUCCUGCCUCCACCCCCAGACCACCUGCUGAAGGGAGAGAUGUUAAAAAGAACCACGUUUUCCAUUCCUCAAAGCCAAACAAACACAGAGAGUCGGCUGAGCCUCUCUAAAUCAGUGACUGCCAGGGGAGUAAAAUGCUGAACCCACCAAAAGGCCACAUCUGCGAAAUAAAUCCAUGUCCUGAGAGUCAAAUCAAAACAGAUGUGGUCCCACAGCAGGGACCCCUCCCAUGGAGAGACACAUCUACCUCGGUCCUACCCAGGGCCCUUUCUCGUUGAGAGAUCUGGCCAGGUUAUGAAAACCAUUUACUUCCAUGGUGACUCUUCUUCAGUGAUGCUGGCUGGAGCCCAGCCCUCCUCAGGUCACUUAACCACACCAUCUUAGGGAGCCCAGCCCACUCUCAGCCUAAAGCCAUCAGUGAAAGUGCAAACUCAGGGACUGCAGUCAGUUAGACUCAACAGCUCUCAUCCCCCAGGUCCUGUCCACAGGCUCAGCGCGCUAUGUCCUGCCCUGCCCACGCUGGGGUCAAGAAAGGAAGUUUUGCUCAUCUUCCAAGGCCCAGCUCAGCCGCCCCCUUCUCCAGAGGCUUCCUCCUUCUCCAAGGACAGAUCUGCUACUUAUUUGCCUCUUCCCACAAUACUUUUUUGAAAAUCUUUUCCACAGAGAGCCCCAGGGAUCCACUCGCUGGCCUCAAGGAUUUGUGAAUUCCUAAAAUGUUGUGUGG